UUUCUUUCGCAUGGUGUGUGCGGAAAUAUUGACGAUCUGUAGGAUAAAAAUAACGAAGAAACCGAGUGGGAGCUUCCAGACGGGAAAAUUGAGCGUCGAUGAUUUCGCAGGGGAUUGAUUCGACUAUCGGUACCGUCGAGGAUAGUAAACGGACCGUCGAGAAUAGUAGAGGUUAUGAGUCGAGUGGAGCAGGUUUUCCCCGUCCACACCCGAUGGAUGAGAAGAUUGAGUCGUCGUUCUGUGAUGGGAAGCAGCGGUAAAGAUGCGGUUCGGGGCGGAGAGUCCAGUUCGGGAUGCAGUUGUAUGCUGUUAUCGUUCCUACGGAUCGCGUUAUGGAUGUUCCUUGAGCGGUUGGCGUUUCAGAGGAUCGAUUCCGCCCGAUCCUGUAAAGGAGGCUGGACCCUUGGUCGGCGGAGUCCGAUGGUGCCCAAGUUCCCCCUGGCGAUGCGACCGCAGACGAUGAAAAAUCCCGCUGGUCGCCUUUGGGUGGAGUCGCAUCGGUCUACCGGGGGGGCCCUUCAUCGACUUAAGUUGGUUAGGGUAUUGGGCAUCGGCAGUCGGCGGGAUCGAAGAAAGUCUGCUGUUCGGUUCCAUCCUCGAACGGGGUGAAAGUGGGUAAGUUAGAUUCCAAUGAAAUCGGUUGGGAGAACCGACAUUUCAUCUUGUUUCUUCCGUUUUAGGUGCUGCCGAAUCCAGAGAGACGUUCCCGGCAGAGUCAAGCCGAAGAGUAAAACUGCCGUUGGGCAUAGGCUCGGGCAUAGGUACCACCGCUUUCUUUGAAGGCACCGUCUAUGCGGCCGACUUUGGACUCGAUGGAUUUGCGUAUGAGGAAAGGAGCGUUUGGUAAAGGACGAUCAUCAGUACCGGAUAGACGAAGGAGGUGGAGUUCUCCAUGUAAGGCUUGCGGGUCCAUGUAACUCGGAAGUGUAGCUCCAGUGUGGCUGUUGUCUAUUGUGUUCGUUCCUCCGGGUGGCGGAUCAUUCCACCAGGGUGGUCCAUUUCCUGAAAUGGCUGCCAUUUUGGCAGCAGCCCAGCUGAGAGAGACGACGUGUAGCCGAAUUCAAAAGAGGCCAAAGGUCACCGAACAAAACAAGGAAAAAAACCGUGCUAGUAGCGCGGAGCGACAGUCGCUCAAAUACCCAAGAGUGUGUACCGAAAAAAAACCUUUGCUUUUUGAUUCAAGGUGUGUUAGUUAGAAGGCGAAACUCUUUUUCCCUUCACUUUGCGGAUGUUUCACUCGCACCGUUGCUCUCACUUCGCUGAUAAACUUCCCCCACGAUUGUUUCUUGCAAGCCGGUAUCACGAAACGCCGAUUCGGAAAAACGGAUUCUCUCUACUGUUCGCUUUGAUUCACUCUUCUCUCGCGGUAAAUUGUUCUUCACAUUAAAAUUCUUCGGUUGACGACGGUACAGAGCACUCGCUCCACCGGGGGAGGUGAGUAUGAGUGGGUAUGUAUAAUUGAGAAUGGGACACAAUACUUUAUCUCUCUUGCAUAUAGGACCCGGGGUCAGCCCGGGUCAGAAGCGGUCGUUGAACUGACGCGCGCUUGGCGUCCUUAUGCACUAGUUCAAACGGAAGACAACUUUUCUUGGUUCAGAUUCUACGCCGAAAAAAUGGAUCACUUGUGGAAGCACUUUAGUACACUGCAAAAAUUCCACACAUUUUUAUUGGCAAAAAUCCAUUAAUUUAAUUCAUGAUUCUAAUUAGUGCACACAUAACCACUCUCCACGCGAAGUACAAAUAUAAUCUAUAAUCAAAUAAAAUGUAUGUGUGGUCUCUAAUAUGCAGUUAUUGAAUUUAUGUGUGGGUACAAAUUGCAUAUAUUUGGGUCGCCAAAUUGCAAAAAUUUAUGUGUGCGACAAAUAUAUUCAAUAUAAAUAAUUUUCUC